ACACCAAUGACUCGAGACUAGUCACUCUCCCUGAGAGAAGACACAGCACGUACUGAUCUUAACGGACUAUCAAUGCCCAAUUGGCAAUCCUAUGAUCAGGAACGUUUAGGAUGUGUCUACGAAAGAAUGGUCUCAUGAAUCUAACUUCUUUAGAUCGCAUUCUCCCAAUCACAUAUUUCUUGGACUUAUCGUUUAAGCAUAUAACAUUUAUAUGAGACGGCUUAAAACAAUAAUCUU
rnacentral:lncRNA from 1 species